rnacentral:rRNA from 1 species
UACGGGGGGGGCAAGCGUUGUUCGGAAUUACUGGGCGUAAAGGGCUCGUAGGUGGCCAACUAAGUCAGACGUGAAAUCCCUCAGCUUAACUGGGGAACUGCGUCUGAUACUGGAUGGCUUGAGUUUGGGAGAGGGAUGCGGAAUUCCAGGUGUAGCGAUGAAAUGCGUAGAUAUCUGGAGGAACACCGGAGGCGAAGGCGGCAUCCUGGACCAACACUGACACUGAGGAGCGAAAGCCAGGGGAGCAAACGGG